GCCACUGUAGCUCAGCGGUAACACGCGCACGUCGCGAUGUCGCUAUAGAGCGGCGGUUUCGUAAACCGCAGGCCGGGGGUUCAAACCCCUCCAGUGGCUCCA
rnacentral:tRNA from 1 species